rnacentral:rRNA from 2 species
AAGACUCUCGGCAACGGAUAUCUCGGCUCUUGCAUCGAUGAAGAACGUAGCGAAAUGCGAUACUUGGUGUGAAUUGCAGAAUCCCGUGAACCAUCGAGUCUUUGAACGCAAGUUGCGCCCGAGGCCAUUAGGCUGAGGGCACGCCUGCCUGGGUGUUGCACAU